rnacentral:tRNA from 1 species
UUCUAAUAAUUUAAACAAAAUAUUGAUCUUGUAAAUCAAAAUUACACACUCGUUUAGAACUC